UACUCCUACGGGAGGCAGCAGUGAGGAAUAUUGGACAAUGGGUGCAAGCCUGAUCCAGCCAUCCCGCGUGAAGGAUUAAGGUCCUAUGGAUUGUAAACUUCUUUUAUACAGGGAUAAACCUCUCCUCGUGAGGAGAGCUGAAGGUACUGUAUGAAUAAGCACCGGCCAACUCCGUGCCAGCAGCCGCGGUAAUA
rnacentral:rRNA from 1 species